rnacentral:rRNA from 1 species
CCCGGGCCUUGUACACACCGCCCGUCACACCAUGAGAGCCGGGGGGACCCGAAGUCGGUAGUCUAACCGCAAGGAGGACGCCGCCGAAGGUAAAACUGGUGAUUGGGGUGAAGUCGUAACAGGUAACCGUAAAGGGCGAAUUC